CCACCAUUCCUGCACCCUUCGUCGUUUCUCUUCCCUUUUCACUCUCAUUUUCCCCAGUCUCUCCCCCCUACCUCCAAUCCAUUCUGGUCUGGGACUGGCUUGAAAACAGCCAGGAGGAAGCAGCUACCAUCGUCGUGAGCUCAUGACUACGGCAACCACACCAUCGACCUCAACAACAACUAGCCAGGAGAGGACAGCGACUACACCGACCAACACAGACUCGGUUAACUGCGCUCAGUGACCACGCCAGAACAACAGCGGCUACCAAACAGUUGUAUUAACAAGUUUCCUGUUCGUCACACCGACCAAAGUGUUCUUGACUAAGGGCACUGGAUAAGACAAGAGUGGGGGGCUCUACUGAUGGCUCUACCUAAUGCUGCACGUGACUACGACUGUCAACUGACACCAACAACAUGUGGCUAGGAAGGACAGCGACUUUGUCCACCAAGACAUCAACGAUCACCUGACACGGAUUAUGGCGGCCAGUGACCACGCCGAGUAAAGCAACAGAGGCUACCAGGAUUACUUACAGGUUUCCCUGUCGUUACUCUACCAACUAUUUCUCGACUAAUGAGACUGGAUUAACAGACUGGCAUGACCACCACUGCCAUCAACGUGGUCAGCUGAUGUUGCUCGGUGACUACGACGAUCACACCAUCGACCUCAACAACAGCUGGCUU